rnacentral:rRNA from 1 species
CAGCAGCCGCGGGAAUACGAAGGGGGCUAGCGUUGCUCGGAAUUACUGGGCGUAAAGGGAGCGUAGGCGGAUCGUUAAGUUGGGGGUGAAAGCCCGGGGCUCAACCUCGGAAUUGCCUUCAAUACUGGCGAUCUUGAGUAUGGAAGAGGUAUGUGGAACUCCGAGUGUAGAGGUGAAAUUCGUAGAUAUUCGGAAGAACACCAGUGGCGAAGGCGACAUACUGGUCCAUUACUGACGCUGAGGCUCGAAAGCGUGGGGAGCAAACAGGAUUAGAUACCCCUGUAGUCCCUGUCUCUUAUAC